rnacentral:rRNA from 1 species
UACGUGGGAGGCUAGCGUUAUUCAUCAUAAAUAGGUUUAAAGGGUGCGUAGGCGGUUCCAUAAGUCAGUGGUGAAAUACGGCAGCUCAACUGUCGAGGUGCCAUUGAUACUGCGGAAUUUGAGUACUGAUGAGGUAGGCGGAAUUGACGGUGUAGCGGUGAAAUGCUUAGAUAUCGUCAAGAACACCGAUAGCGAAGGCAGCUUACCAAGCAGUAACUGACGCUGAGGCACGAAAGUGCGGGGAUCAAACAGG